UGUUACCUUGCUGGAAUGGAAGGUGUGGCAUGCAUUAAUGCUUGGCAACAUAUAUGCAACAAGAAGCCUGAAAGGGUGCAAGACGAUCUGAUACAAUGGGUCCUCUAACAAUAGGGGCGGAAGUGGAAUUAGUGACCUGCAGUUGGACAGCCCUAAGACCAGACCUGAAAGCGUUGGAUGAAACCCCUCAAGACUUAAAAACUACAGUAUCCAAUGUGACAAAAGCAAGAAAAUGAUUAACCCUACAAUUUCAAUAAACUCAGAGCCCAAACUUGCUUCAGCAGAUAGUGGAGCCAUAGCGAUAUGGACGGAUCUCGGAAGACACACUAAUAUAUCCGCACCGACCAUGGUCCCUACGCCGAACAGACAAACAGCAACAGCAAUGAAAUGGAUUAAUUUAUAUCUUGCACGGAGAAUGAACCAUGAUAAAGCCAUCAGUACAGGGAUCCCAAAACAGUCCAGG